GCUAGGCAUGGUGGCGCAUGCCUGUAAUCCCAGCUACUCAGGAGGCUGAGGCAGGAGAAUCACUUGAACCUGGGAGGUGGAGGUUGCAGUGAGCCGUGAUCCUGCCACUGCACUCCAGCCUGGGCGACAGAGUGAGACUCUGUCUCAA
rnacentral:sRNA from 1 species